rnacentral:rRNA from 1 species
UACGUAGGGUGCAAGCGUUGUCCGGAAUUAUUGGGCGUAAAGAGCUCGUAGGCGGUGUGUCGCGUCGGCCGUGAAAACCUGCAGCUUAACUGUGGGCUUGCGGUCGAUACGGGCAUCACUGGAGUUCGGCAGGGGAGACUGGAAUUCCUGGUGUAGCGGUGAAAUGCGCAGAUAUCAGGAGGAACACCAAUAGCGAAGGCAGCUCGCUGGGACGUUACUGACGCUGAGGCGCGAAAGCGUGGGGAGCGAACAGG